GUGGAAGUGAUUACAGCAAUUGUGUUUGACGGUGAUAUUAAUUUAAAAUAUUCUGCGUUUUCUCUCCUCUGUAUAUUUAUCUCAAUACUUUUUUACUGCUUCCCUGUGCUAAAUGUCCUCUUUCUAAAAUAUCUACGAUCAUUUCUAUUCAUCGACUGGAUGUUUAUUACAUGAUACAAUAGGUAAUGCAAUGAAAGGACUCAAAUAUAAUAGGAGAUUUCUUCUGAAAUGCGUUGGACAAAAUAAAACCAUGAUCAUAGAAAGAAAUUGUGAAUGUUUCUGAAUCUGGAAAAAAAAAAAAAGGGCAAAGGAAGAUCUUUGGUAGAUGAGAAAAAGUUAAGAAUAUUGAUAAGAGGCUGACCUUGAAGACUGGAGUGAUGUAGCCACAAGCCAAGGAAUACUGACAGCCACCAGAGGCUGGAAGAGGCAAGAAACUGAUUGCUUCUGAGAGCCUCCAAAGGCAAUGGGAUCUUGCUGGCACCUUGAUUUCAGCCAAGUCAAAUUCAUUUCAAACUUCUGGCUUCCAGAGCUAGAAGCAAGCAGCAUUGUUGGGAAUAGGCCCACAUGGCAAGAAAGCAGGAAGGUAACAGGUAACAGUCCAAUGAUCGCAUUUCGAAGUGGUGCUUUCAUACGUCAAGUCUGAAGAUGACUCCUGCCCUGGUUAACAUCUCCAUUACAACCUUGUGAAAGAUCUUGAGUUAAAGGUACCUAACUAAAUGGUGCUAUUUACUGAUCCACAGAAUCUUCAAGAUAACAAAUGUGUGUUGUUUUAAUUCACAAUAUUUUGGGGUAAUUUGUUAUGAAACUAUAAUGAUUAAUAAUUACCUGAUAAUAUACGCAUUAAAAUAUAACUUACCGUGC